GAUGAACGCUGGCGGCGUACCUAAUACAUGCAAGUCGAGCGAACAGACGAGGAGCUUGCUCCUCUGACGUUAGCGGCGGACGGGUGAGUAACACGUGGAUAACCUACCUAUAAGACUGGGAUAACUUCGGGAAACCGGAGCUAAUACCGGAUAAUAUAUUGAACCGCAUGGUUCAAUAGUGAAAGACGGUUUUGCUGUCACUUAUAGAUGGAUCCGCGCCGCAUUAGCUAGUUGGUAAGGUAACGGCUUACCAAGGCGACGAUGCGUAGCCGACCUGAGAGGGUGAUCGGCCACACUGGAACUGGGACACGGUCCAGACUCCUACGGGAGGCAGCAGUAGGGAAUCUUCCGCAAUGGGCGAAAGCCUGACGGAGCAACGCCGCGUGAGUGAUGAAGGUCUUCGGAUCGUAAAACUCUGUUAUUAGGGAAGAACAAAUGUGUAAGUAACUAUGCACGUCUUGACGGUACCUAAUCAGAAAGCCACGGCUAACUACGUG
rnacentral:rRNA from 1 species